rnacentral:rRNA from 1 species
ACCAGACUCCUACGGGAGGCAGCAGUGGGGAAUAUUGCGCAAUGGGGGAAACCCUGAUGCAGCGACGCCGCGUGAGUGAAGAAGUAUUUCGGUAUGUAAAGCUCUCUCAGCAGGGAAGAAAAUGACGGUACCUGAUUAAGAAGCCCCGGCUAACUACGUGCCAGCAGCCGCGGUAAUACGUAGGGGGCAAGCGUUAUCCGGAUUUACUGGGUGUAAAGGGAGCGUAGACGGUGAUGCAAGUCAGAAGUGAAAGCCCGGGGCUCAACUCCGGGACUGCUUUUGAAACUGUGUAACUGGAGUGCAGGAGAGGUAAGCGGAAUUCCUGGUGUAGCGGUGAAAUGCGUAGAUAUCAGGAGGAACACCAGUGGCGAAGGCGGCUUACUGGACGGUAACUGACGCUGAGGCUCGAAAGCGUGGGGAGCAAACAGGAUUAGAUACCCUUGUA